UGAAUAAUCCAUUAAAACCUAUCAAGCAACCAAGAGAACAAUUGGAACCAAAAUAAAUAUCACACACGACUUGUUUGGAUUUAAUAAAAUAAUUGAUUAAAAAAGUUGCAAGGGCCUGAACUAAUCAGUUACAAAAAACAGUGUUUAAAGUUUAAUAUCUGUGAAGUGUGAAGGAUAUUUUUUGUUAUGAAUUUGAUGGACUUCCUUCUACAAUAAAUCUAUGUAAAUAAUAUUAUUCGAAGCUUUUACUAAUUAAUAUUUGUACUAUUUCAACAUUUAAUUAUUGGUUUUAUUGUACUAUGCUGAAAUAAAUGAAAUCAAGAUAUAUCAAUUGUUAUGAAAACUCCCAAUUUAGAAAAGGAAUUUCAGGAUUUUGUAAACAAGAUUGCCCCUACAAAAUUGACUGAAUGUUUUCAGCUAUUCUAAAAGUAGCAGAUGGAUCAAAGCAAGUAACCUGUGUGGUAAAAGGAAAAACAGUUGGUCUUUUAUUUGGAUUAAGUGAAGACGAGUGGUCAGAUGUUGAAAAUAUGUGUGGUAACGGCCAGCAACUAUUUUACAGAUAUUUCAAAGAUGGCCUAAGUAGGAAUUUUAGUUGUGAGCAGAAACUUUUUUAUAAUUUUUGCCUUAGCAACCGAAAAGAGAAUGUUCUAAUUGCCCUAUUCUGCAGAAUAAAUAAUACUAGGAAUAAAGAUAAAAAGGAUGCGAUGAUUCAGAUUUUCCAUUUGAAAAAAUCAAGUAGUUACAUAUUGGACUUAUAUUUAAAUCAUUUAAGACAACAAAUAUAAAUGAUACUGCCAUGUC